rnacentral:rRNA from 1 species
CCUACGGGUGGCAGCAGUGGGGAAUAUUGCACAAUGGGCGCAAGCCUGAUGCAGCCAUGCCGCGUGUAUGAAGAAGGCCCUAGGGUUGUAAAGUACUUUCAGCGGGGAGGAAGGUGAUAAGGUUAAUACCCUUGUCAAUUUACGUUACCCGCAGAAGACGCACCGGCUAACUCCGGCCCAGCAGCCGCGGUAAUACGGAGGGUGCAAGCGUUAAUCGGAAUUACUGGGCGUAAAGCGCACGCGUGCGGUCAAUUAAGUCAGAUGUUAAAGCCCCGAGCAUAACUUGGGAAUUGCAUCUGAAACUGGUUGGCUAGAGUGUUGGAGAGGGGGGUAGAAUGCCAUGUGUAGCGGUGAAAUGCGUAGAUAUGUGGAGGAAUACCGGUGGCGAAGGCGGCCCCCUGGAGAAAGACUGACGCUCAGGUGCGAAAGCGUGGGGAGCAAACAGGAUUAGAUACCCUUGUAGUC